GGACGAACGCUGGCGGCGUGCCUAAUACAUGCAAGUCGAACGGUCUUUCUAUGGAAGCUUGCUUCCACUGAGAAGAUAGUGGCGAACGGGUGAGUAACACGUGGGUAACCUGCCCAUAAGAGGGGGAUAACAUCCGGAAACGGGUGCUAAUACCGCAUAGUUUUCUUGAUCGCAUGAUCGGGAAAGGAAAGACGGCCUUUGUGCUGUCGCUUAUGGAUGGACCCGCGGCGUAUUAGUUAGUUGGUGAGGUAACGGCUCACCAAGACGAUGAUACGUAGCCGACCUGAGAGGGUGAUCGGCCACAUUGGGACUGAGACACGGCCCAAACUCCUACGGGAGGCAGCAGUAGGGAAUCUUCCGCAAUGGACGAAAGUCUGACGGAGCAACGCCGCGUGAGUGAAGAAAAGGUUUUCGGAUCGUAAAACUCUGUUGUCAGAGAAGAACAAGUUGGAGAGUAACUGCUCCAGCCUUGACGGUAUCUGACCAGAAAGCCACGGCUAACUACGUGCCAGCCGCUGC
rnacentral:rRNA from 1 species